GAAAAUGUACCAGGACAGGGUUGAGAACUAUAAGGUGGUACUGAGGAAACACAGAGAGCAGUAUCACCAGCAUCCCCUGGCCCAGAAGCUCCUGAAGAUCCAGGCGGAGAACGAGGAGAUCGAGAGGAGAAUCAGGGCCUGCGAAGAGCAGAUAGUAGCUGGAGAGAAAGAGCGACUACAGGUUUUUGAAGCAAGAAACAUGGGGCAACACAGAGGAAAAUGUGCAGCAAUCAAAACAGUCCCUCAAGAUAAUCCAGAGGACAGUGUGUCAAUAGGAGAUAUAGAGCUUCAGUUCGUCGAUCAGGGUGAGCCAUCAGUGGAUAUGAAGGAUCCGCUUUCACAGAGCGCUGGCUAUGAUCCCCAGGAUGAGGGUACUGGGUUGGGUGAGGAGAGGAUGGAGGAAAUGGCCUCGGGACACCCAGACGGUGGCCGGAGCAGAGCUGCAGUCUCAGCCCCCCCAGCAGGGGCAAACCCAGGUGGAGGAGGCCCCAUGUGGACCAGCCCAGGAACCAGAGCAGCUCAAAGGGAGGCAGCGGACCAGGCUCAGCUGGGGGAAAUGGAUCAGGACGAAAGCUUUAACUUGUCCGGCCUGGCAGAGGAGAUGGAUAAUGAGUUUGAGGGGGUGACAGUGGAGAGUCAGAACCCCCCCACCGCCACCAGCGCUGCUGCUGCCGGGGGGGCCUCUGAGGUGGAGUAUGCAGGGGACAGCACAGUCUCUCCCCACACCCCGCCCUCCAGGAUGAAGGCAGCAUCUUCCCACACCCCGCCCUCCAGGAUGAAGGCAGCAUCUUCCCACACCCCGCCCUCCAGGAUGAAGGCAGCUCCGGCCACGCCGACCUUCUCACUCGCUAGCCCCACCUGUCCUCUGGGUGGCAGUGACAGCUCCGAUGGGAAGUCCCCCGGCUUCGUGUUCUCCAUGACCUCUGACCCCUCAACUCCAGCCUUCUCUGGGUUUGGCUUUGAUAUGGGCUCCACUGCACGAGAGGAGGAAACCCCAUUCACAUUCACAAGUGAAUAUUUCAGCGACAAGAAAUCUGAAGCAAAGUUCUCAGGGUUUCCAUUUGACCAGUCCGAGAGCAGAUCUGAGGAGGACUUUCCGUUCUCCUUCUCGUCCAAGAGCCCCAUGCAGGAACCCACCUCCGAGGACAAGACGGGGGCUGGAGACGGCUUCCCUUUCUCUUUCAACUUUGGAAAGUUCUAGAAAGCAGGGGGUUGAUCGUCAAUAGCUGUAGCAUCAGAGAAAAUAUUAUUAUAAAUGUUUUUAUAAGUUAUGCAGAAGAAGAACCUCCUCAAAUUGAGUCAAAUAGGGUUAGGGUGUGCUUCAAGAUUCACUUGUUUGGAUUCUCUCUAACUUAGAGGUUUGGACGUGGUAACCGAGAUCAGUAGUGUGAGGUCCAGUUCACAGGACGGUGCGACAGUUUAGUUACACAAAAGAAUACAAUAUACAGUCAAAUACAAGUAUGAAUUUCCAAGGUUGAAAAAUGUUCUUUUUAUCCAAAGUCCAAGUGUAAAGCCUUGGGCUGUGAUGCUUUUAGUGUCUGUUCUCUUUGUCAUUAAGAGCAGUUAGAAAAGGCAGAAAAUGUGUUCUUUUAAAGUUGAACAUAUCGGAGGGUAAACAUUUGUUCCUGUUGUUGGCCCAGUUUAGUUGAACAGGCCAAAAAUGUAAUACUGCACUUGUAUAUUAUUUAUUGGAAUAAGCAAGUCUGGAUGUAUGUCAGUGGUCAAUUAAGUGAUAUUUAUUUUUGUUUACUCACAUUCAGAUUCAGGUAGUGUUUACACAAAUACAUCCAUACACUUGUAUGGCAGUUUACUUGAAA
ensembl:lncRNA